GACGAACGCUGGCGGCGUGCUUAACACAUGCAAGUCGAACGGAAAGGCCCUGCUUUUGUGGGGUGCUCGAGUGGCGAACGGGUGAGUAACACGUGAGUAACCUGCCCUUGACUUUGGGAUAACUUCAGGAAGCUGGGGCUAAUACCGGAUAGGAGCUCCUGCUGCAUGGUGGGGGUCGGAAAGUUUCGGCGGUUGGGGAUGGACUCGCGGCUUAUCAGCUUGUUGGUGGGGUAGUGGCUUACCAAGGCUUUGACGGGUAGCCGGCCUGAGAGGGUGACCGGCCACAUUGGGACUGAGAUACGGCCCAGACUCCUACGGGAGGCAGCAGUGGGGAAUAUUGCACAAUGGGCGGAAGCCUGAUGCAGCAACGCCGCGUGCGGGAUGACGGCCUUCGGGUUGUAAACCGCUUUCGCCUGUGACGAAGCGUGAGUGACGGUAAUGGGUAAAGAAGCACCGGCUAACUACGUG
rnacentral:rRNA from 1 species